rnacentral:rRNA from 1 species
UACAGAGGUCUCAAGCGUUGUUCGGAUUCAUUGGGCGUAAAGGGUGCGUAGGUGGCGCUGUAAGUCGGGUGUGAAAUUUCGGAGCUUAACUCCGAAACUGCAUUCGAUACUGCGGUGCUCGAGGACUGGAGAGGAGACUGGAAUUCAUGGUGUAGCAGUGAAAUGCGUAGAGAUCAUGAGGAAGACCAGUGGCGAAGGCGGGUCUCUGGACAGUUCCUGACACUGAGGCACGAAGGCCAGGGGAGCAAAUGGG